rnacentral:rRNA from 1 species
UACGUAGGGUGCGAGCGUUAUUCGGAAUUACUGGGCGUAAAGUGUGCGCAGGCGGCCGAGCAAGUCGAGUGUGAAAGCCCCGGGCUUAUCUUGGGAAUUGCGCUCGAAACUACUUGGCUGGAGUGUGGCAGAGGAAGGUGGAAUUCCAGGUGUAGCGGUGAAAUGCGUAGAGAUCUGGAGGAACACCGAUGGCGAAGGCAGCCUUCUGGGCCAACACUGACGCUCAUGCACGAAAGCGUGGGGAGCAAACAGG